UACCAUCUGAGCCAUUGAAUCUGGAUGCUAACGUACAAUCAAACACAACCGUUCAAUUAUCGUGGAGUGCACCUCUACACCAUAACGGCAUUAUCACUAAAUAUCAUGUAUAUUAUAAGAAAGCAACAGAAAAUGUUAUUGCUCAUAAUACAGCGAAUUCAACACAAUAUUUGGUACAGGAUCUCACACCUAAUACUAACUACUCAUUCUGGGUUUACGCUCAAACGUCAGCUGGCUUGGGAAAUAAAAGUGUGACAGUAUUUAACAAGACUUAUGAAGGAG